UAUACCGAAUACACCCUGCUGGCUGCAUGGUCUGGUGGGGGAAAGCUUUUGCGGUGUGGGAUGGGCCCGCGGCCUAUCAGCUUGUUGGUGAGGUUACGGCUCACCAAGGCGACGACGGGUAGCCGGCCUGAGAGGGUGACCGGCCACACUGGGACUGAGAUACGGCCCAGACUCCUACGGGAGGCAGCAGUGGGGAAUAUUGCACAAUGGGCGCAAGCCUGAUGCAGCGACGCCGCGUGAGGGAUGACGGCCUUCGGGUUGUAAACCUCUUUCACCAGGGACGAAGCGCAAGUGACGGUACCURCAGAAGAAGGACCGGCCAACUACGUGCCAGCAGCCGCGGUAAU
rnacentral:rRNA from 1 species